rnacentral:rRNA from 1 species
GAUGAACGCUGGCGGCGUGCUUAACACAUGCAAGUCGAACGAUGAAGCCCAGCUUGCUGGGUGGAUUAGUGGCGAACGAGUGAGUAACACGUGAGUAACCUGCCCUUAACUCUGGGAUAAGCCUGGGAAACUGGGUCUAAUACCGGAUAGGAGCGCCUACCGCAUGGUGGGUGUUGGAAAGAUUUAUCGGUUUUGGAUGGACUCGCGGCCUAUCAGCUUGUUGGUGAGGUAAUGGCUCACCAAGGCGACGACGGGUAGCCGGCCUGAGAGGGUGACCGGCCACACUGGGACUGAGACACGGCCCAGACUCCUACGGGAGGCAGCAGUGGGGAAUAUUGCACAAUGGGCGAAAGCCUGAUGCAGCGACGCCGCGUGAGGGAUGACGGCCUUCGGGUUGUAAACCUCUUUCAGUAGGGAAGAAGCGAAAGUGACGGUACCUGCAGAAGAAGCACCGGCUAACUACGUG